CCUACGGGUGGCAGCAGUGGGGAAUAUUGGACAAUGGGCGAAAGCCUGAUCCAGCCAUGCCGCGUGUGUGAAGGAGGCCUUCGGGUUGUAAAGCACUUUCAGUGGGGAAGAAAGCCUUGGGGCUAAUACCCUCGAGGAAGGACAUCACCCACAGAAGAAGCACCGGCUAACUCCGUGCCAGCAGCCGCGGUAAUACGGAGGGUGCGAGCGUUAAUCGGAAUUACUGGGCGUAAAGCGCGCGUAGGCGGUCUGAUAAGCCGGUUGUGAAAGCCCCGGGCUCAACCUGGGAACGGCAUCCGGAACUGUCAGGCUAGAGUGCAGGAGAGGAAGGUAGAAUUCCCGGUGUAGCAGUGAAAUGCGUAGAGAUCGGGAGGAAUACCAGUGGCGAAGGCGGCCUUCUGGACUGACACUGACGCUGAGGUGCGAAAGCGUGGGUAGCAAACAGGAUUAGAUACCCGGGUAGUC
rnacentral:rRNA from 1 species